AACGAACGCUGGCGGCGUGCCUAACACAUGCAUGUCGAACGUGAUUGGAAGCUUGCUUCCAUGAAAGUGGCGCACGGGUGAGUAACGCGUAGAUAAUCUACCUGAUGAUCCGGGAUAACACUUCGAAAGGGGUGCUAAUACCUGAUAAGCCCACGGGGUCUUCGGACUCUGCGGGAAAAGGGGGGGACCUUCGGGCCUUCCGUCAUCAGAUGAGUCUGCGUACCAUUAGCUAGUUGGUAGGGUAAAGGCCUACCAAGGCGACGAUGGUUAGCUGGUCUGAGAGGAUGAUCAGCCACACUGGAACUGAGACACGGUCCAGACUCCUACGGGAGGCAGCAGUGGGGAAUUUUGCGCAAUGGGGGAAACCCUGACGCAGCAACGCCGCGUGAGUGAUGAAGGCCCUUGGGUCGUAAAGCUCUGACAGAGGGAAAGAAGUGCAGGGGAGCUAAUAUCUCCUUUGCUUGACGGUACCCUCAAAGGAAGCACCGGCUAACUCCGUGCCAGCCGCCGCGGUAAGAC
rnacentral:rRNA from 1 species